AGUGAACGCUGGCGGUAGGCCUAACACACGCAAGUCGAACGGCAGCACAGGAGAGCUUGCUCUCUGGGUGGCGAGUGGCGGACGGGUGAGGAAUACAUCGGAAUCUACUCUGUCGUGGGGGAUAACGUAGGGAAACUUACGCUAAUACCGCAUACGACCUACGGGUGAAAGCAGGGGACCUUCGGGCCUUGCGCGAUUGAAUGAGCCGAUGUCAGAUUAGCUAGUUGGCGGGGUAAAGGCCCACCAAGGCGACGAUCCGUAGCUGGUCUGAGAGGAUGAUCAGCCACACUGGAACUGAGACCCGGUCCAGACUCCUACGGGAGGCAGCAGUGGGGAAUAUUGGACAAUGGGCGCAAGCCUGAUCCAGCCAUACCGCGUGGGUGACGAAGGCCUUCGGGUUGUAAAGCCCUUUUGUUGGGAAAGAAAUCCAGCUGGCUAAUACCCGGUUGGGAUGACGGUACCCAAAGAAUAAGCACCGGCUAACUUCGUGCCAGCCGCCGCCGUAA
rnacentral:rRNA from 1 species